UUGUGUUAUAGAACACACCAUAUAGUAAUUAUUGGACUUUGAUUGUGCUCUGAGAAAUUAGGGAGAGAGACUCUUUAAGAUCUCCAUGACAGAAGCAGGAUUGCUAUUUAUGCUAUACUAGCUGAUAAUCCAAGUAAAUAUCUAAAAUAGUGACAUGUUUGCACAUUGAAAUCAAUUAUGUAUUUGCAAAUUGUUUUUUAGAAUUUUUCUAUGUAUGAGAACAUGUUUCAAAUUUAAUUAAUUAUACAUAUGAAAUGAAAUAUUAAAUAAUGUUUCUUGAUUUUUUAUUUUAGUAUUUUGAUAGUCGUUAUUUGUUAAAAAUUGACUUUUCUUUUUUCUUAUUAAAAAAGUAUUUACUUUCCGUAUAUAAAAGCAUUAUAUAAUGAACAUACUUGUUAUACAAAAAACACGGUUUUAUUUAUCAGGUUUAUGUAUUUAUAGUUACAGUAUAUCGUAAUUUAGGUUUAUCACUAGAUAUUGUAUUUAUAUACCAUAAAAAUCGAAUUUGCAGUAUUAUCAGAUUAUUAAAUGUUUAUUUACGGUUUUAUACUAACUAUGAAAAUAAAUAUUUUCUAUAUAUUUUGCGUGGAAAAGAACUAAACUUUCUCUAGAAGUCUAAAAAAACCUAACUACUUGCAAAUAUUGGAAAGGAGAAUCGGGUAAUAUGCACAAUAACGUAUUAAAUAUACAGUAACCAUGUUAAGCAACUCAUAAAUUUGCAAGCAGAUUUAUUAAAUGUAUUUACUGAAUAUAGAAAAUAUCUAAAUAUUAUGUUCAGUUUAUAAAUAUAAAUGUCGCCUUAUAAAUAUAGUGUAAUGUUUCAUUAUAGCAUUUACGUGAUUUCUCGUUGAUACCUCGGGACUAAAAUUUAAGUUACAACUUAAAAAUAUUUAUCUUUUAAUAUAUAGAUGAUAAUAUUUUGUUUCAAUAAUUAAUGUAUAUAUUUUUUUCUAAAAAAUAAAAUUAAAAAUGUAAAUUAAAACUAAUUCAGUCAAUCAUAAAAAUACUACGCCAUAAAACAUCAUUAAUGACAUAUUUUUUAGUUAAUAUAAAAAUAUCAAAACAGAAAGCAUUUAGGAAACAUCUUAAACUUCCAAGACAUUAUCUAUUUUGGAACGGAAAGGGUAUAUUUGUGUUUUCCACUUGAUGAUUAGUUGAUUACUCGUUUUUCAAAGUUCAAGCAGAAUUCAUGUAUAUUUGUUUAUUUUGUUAUGGUUUUGGUUUUAUCCAACAUGUUAAAUCUAUAAUUUGUAAACGGAAGCGUGAAGGAAAUAGCAUUAAAUACUAGUAUGACUUAGGAGUAGGGAGAUCAAAACAUUAAUUAAUUAAUUAAACAAAAAAAAAGGAAAAUAAAAGAGAGAAUUGUGUUGGAUUUGGAUUGGAUCUGUCUUUUUUAUGUAAAAUAGAAAAAAAGGGAAAAGGGGAAUAAAACGCCGACAAGAGUAACCAACCAACCAAUAGGUAAUCAGAAAAAAAUCCAUUGCAAAGUUUUCUUACAGCCCUAAGAAGCCCCCUCCCAUCGUCCCGCGACCACCGCCUCAAGCAAUCAAAUCAAAUCUCUGUCUGGAUCAGAGCCCUCCCUUCCUUCUUGUUCCCUCUCUUUCGUUGUGCUCUACGUGAUUGAUCUCUACCUCGCUUCCUUCCUAGUUUCCGUAUUGGAAUCAGAGUCUGUUAUUGGGUUUCUGGGAUCGAAUUGGGAUUAAAAAAUUUAGGGUUUAUAGAGGAGGAAGCAAUCGCCUAUGGCUCCGGGGCGUAAAAGAGGAGCGAGCAAGGCUAACGCCAAGGGGCAGUUGAUCCUCGGUGAUCUCGUUCUUGCCAAAGUCAAAGGCUUCCCUGCUUGGCCUGCUAAGAUUAGCCGGCCUGAAGAGUGGGAUCGUGUGCCUGACCCAAAGAAGUACUUUGUUAAGUUCUUUGGAACUCAGGAAAUCGCUUUUGUUGCACCGCCUGAUAUCCAAGCCUUCACUAAUGAGGCAAAGAGCAAACUAUUAGCAAGAUGUCAAGGUAAAACACUCAAGUAUUUUGCGCAAGCUGUAACCGAAAUAUGCACCGCUUUUGAAGAGUUGCAGAACCGCAAGUCAUUGGAUCCUCUCGAUUCAGCGGAGGCUGAGACAUUGAGUGGAACAACAGAUCAUAUAGUCCCUAAAUUAGAUAAGAACGAUGGUGACGAGACAAACGCUGAGACUGUGAAGAAGGAUUCAUCCCCGGGUAGUUCAUAUGACCCUAAAAUAAAGGAAGAAGAUUUUGAUAAAGGAGCUGGCGGUGAUGGUUUCACUAAUGGUCAAAAGAAUGUUGCGAGAACAAAGAAGGUAGCUGGUGGCUCGGACAAAGAAGGUGAUACAAUUCAUAGAGACAAAAGCAGUAACUCAAAAGCAGUAAUUAAGAGUGGGGUUUCAGGCAAGAAAAGAAGGCUUGAAAGUGAACUAGGGAAGCCUGCACCAAAAAGACUAGAUGAAAGCUCGCCUGCUGCUAAAAAACCACGAACUGAAGGUAAAAAUGGCAGCAUAAAGUGUGAAAUUGAUGAUGAAUCUGAUCCUACUGGGACUGGAUCAGAUAUUAAGCACGACCUUGUUGUUUUAGGAGGAAAUUUAAUGGUGGAGCAUGAUACCUCUCCUCCUUUUUCUGGGUCUCGUGGUAGAUCCGGGAAAGUUCAUCUGGAACAGAAAGACCGUUCCUCUCCUGUUAAGGUUCCAGUUGCACAGUCUCUGAAAAAACGGAGGGCUGUUUGCAUCUAUGACGAAGAUGAUGAUGAAGAUCCGAAAACCCCAUUACAUGGAAGUCGAGCUGCUGUUCCCAAAACAUCAGAAUUGACUGAUGGUCCCAAAAGUGGCAAUGCAUCUACUAAAGCUAAGGUAUCUGCUGGACCUACAGAGAGUACUCGAGUAAGGAAAGCACCUCUGCGUAAACAUUGCGAGGAUGCUUCACGCGUAUUAUCGGAAAAUGUGGAGAAAUCUGCUAAUAGCUUACCCAUAGUGAAACCCAUCAGUGAGUUGCCGCCAAAGGAAGUCAAGCAGAUCGUUAAAUCUCCUAUGCUGUCUCCUCAGCUGGGUUCAUCUAACAAGCACGUUACAGCACCGCAAAAAGCUGCAAAGUCAUCUGUAAAAGUUUCUGGUGUUGUGAUGGCAAAGAAGCCUCAGAGUGAUUCUUUUAAGGAGGCAGUUAUGAAAUCUGAUAAAGUAAGCUCUUCUCUGUCUCAAUCUGAUCAGAGACACAAACCAGCUUCACUUAAAGAUAGGCCAAGAGACACUUCUGAGGACUUGUCUGCUGUGAUGCUUGAUGGCAACCGAGAAAAUUGGAGUGCUCCAUUUAUCAGUGCGAAGACCCCAGAUGCAGCUUCAUCUAUGAAGGAUCUAAUUGCAGCAGCACAGGCCAAAAGAAAACUAGCACAUUCACACAAUUCAGUUUUUGGGAAUUUGAACCCUAGUUUCAUGAGCAUCAGCGAUGCGCAGAUGAGGAGCCAGAGCCCGUUUAUGGUUCAGAGUGCUUCAGCUUCUGCUGCCAUCGCAAUGCCUUUAGUUGUUGAAGGACAUGAACAGGAUUCUUCUCCGUCAAAUCAUGGGCAUCAGUCCUCAUCAAGAAAUCAAAAUGAGGUUGAUGAUAAUGAAGAGAGAAGACUUAGUUCAGGGCAUAAGUCAGCUGGAGGUUCACUUAGUGGUGGUACUGAGGCGGCUGUUUCCCGAGAUGCUUUUGAAGGGAUGAUAGAGACCUUAUCAAGAACUAAGGAAAGUAUUGGACGUGCAACACGCCUAGCAAUUGAUUGUGCUAAGUAUGGGAUUGCUAGUGAGGUGGUGGAACUUCUCAUACGAAAGUUGGAAAGUGAACAUCAAUUGCAUCGUAAAGUGGACUUGUUCUUUCUCGUUGACUCUAUCACCCAGUGUUCGCACAACCAAAAAGGUAUUGCUGGUGCUUCAUACGUUCCUACUGUGCAAGCUGCUUUGCCACGUCUUUUAGGUGCUGCUGCUCCUUCAGGGAUCGAUGCUCGUGACAAUCGUCGUAAAUGUCUGAAGGUUCUGAGGUUGUGGCUUGAUAGGAAAAUUUUCCCUGAAUCUCUUCUGCGUCGUUAUAUUGAUGAUAUUGGAGCUUCUGGCGAUGAUGGAACCGUUGGGAUUUCCCUGCGACGUCCUUCUAGAUCUGAGCGUUCUGUAGAUGAUCCUAUCAGAGAAAUGGAAGGGAUGCAUGUUGAUGAGUAUGGCAGCAAUGCAACUAUUCAGCUGCCUGGGUUUUUCUCUUCUCAUACCUUUGAGGAUGAAGAAGAAGAAGAUGACGAUCGUCCAAUAUCACAAAAAGCAAAAAGCACAUCUUCUGGGGAACCUUUUGACUUGGAAACACGUGAUACUUCAAGUGAUAGAGACCAUCGAGUUUUGGAGGAUGUAGAUCGUGAUCUUGAAAUGGCAGAUGUAUCUGGUGAGGGGAAAGAUGUAGCACCUUCCGCUAUCUGUGAGAAUGAGUCACUGAAUGUUAGUGAACCAGUUGCGGAAAAGUCAACUGGGGUGCCUCCUCUUUCAGAGGAUUCUCCUCCGCUACCUCACGAAUCACCUCCAUCUCCCCCUCCUCUACCUCCUUCUCCACCACCUCCAUCUCCACCUCCUCCGCCUUCAUCUCCGCCUCCGUUGCUGCCACCACCACCUCCCACAGCGCAGACCCCACCUCUUCCUUCACCCUUGUCUCAGCCUCCACCACCACCUCCCACCGCGCAGAUCCCACCUCUUCCUCCACCCUUGUCUCAGCCUCCACCACCACCGCCCCUUACACCUCCACCUUCACCUCCACCCCCACCUCCACCGCCUGCACAAUCUAUAGCUUUACCAACUCAACCAUCCAUAGCCAGCCAUCAUCAAUUACCACCUCAGUUAGGAUUUCCUCCGCCAGCAUAUCCAUUAUCGCAUCAAACAUACCCAGGAUCUAUACAGCAAGACCGCUGUAGCAUUUUCACUGGCGAUCAAAUUGUCCAAGGGCCUGGAAGUUGUUCUUCACGUGGAAGUCAUCUGCAGCAGUCAUAUAAUUUUAAUCCUGAAGCUUCUUCACAGAACCAACGGUUUCAGCCGAACACCACUCUCUCCCAAAGACCUAUGGUUAGGAAUCCGCCUUUAGCACCGUCCAGUCAUUUUCCGUAUCCAAGCCAUGUUCAAUCUCAAUCCCCGCAUACCUACACUCAUCCUUACUCUUUCCCACCUCAACGUGAUGAUGUACGGCGAUAUAGAGAUGAGGAACCAUGGCGGAUGUCUUCAAGUGGGCGUAGUGCAGAAAACCAGAGUGGUGCCUGGAUACGUGGAAGACAUUCACAUCCAGGCCUUCCUAGAGUCACAGACAGUAUAUUUCUUUCGGCCACCUUCAGUGACAGUGAGCUAUCAACCUUCUUCUGCUAGUAACUUACAAGCUAUCCCGGCAAUUCCAGGUCAUGCUGCUGCUUCCCAGAUGCUACCGUCUCGGCCAGACCUGCCUGCCGGGAAUUGCUGGCGGCCAGCUUGAAGUGAGGGUAGAAUUUCGUUGGCCUGCUCCUGUUAGUAUCAAGGAUAAAGAAGCUGCUAAUGUCUCAUUAACAAGGCUAAUCCUCUAGUUGCGAGAAAAUAUAUUGUUGUCGUGCGACAGGCUUUUGAUGCAUAACUGAACCGCCUAGAUCGAUGGCAAGGCGGUCCUGAUGAGACUAUGCAAAAAGCUUGGUGUGUGUGAGUUCUGAGUUUGGUUCGGGAGCUGAGAAGAUUGUAGUUUCUCAAGUUGGGAGGUUAGUUUUGUCGUCACUGAUAAUCAUUAAUCAGGACCACCUCGUUGAGACUCUUGAGCAUAGAGUAAGUAAGAUAAGCCCAAAUCACACUCUAUAAACUAUAUAUUUGUAUAUUAUACGCUUUACCAAAAGUGAAAAAACUGUUCUUGUAACCAAAAGAUCAAGUCUUGUUCUAUUACAGAUUGUUUUUACUCAA